rnacentral:rRNA from 2 species
UAGGGAAUCUUCCGCAAUGGGCGAAAGCCUGACGGAGCAACGCCGCGUGAGUGAUGAAGGUCUUCGGAUCGUAAAACUCUGUUAUUAGGGAAGAACAAAUGUGUAAGUAACUAUGCACGUCUUGACGGUACCUAAUCAGAAAGCCACGGCUAACUACGUGCCAGCAGCCGCGGUAAUACGUAGGUGGCAAGCGUUAUCCGGAAUUAUUGGGCGUAAAGCGCGCGUAGGCGGUUUUUUAAGUCAGAUGUGAAAGCCCACGGCUCAACCGUGGAGGGUCAUUGGAAACUGGAAAACUUGAGUGCAGAAGAGGAAAGUGGAAUUCCAUGUGUAGCGGUGAAAUGCGCAGAGAUAUGGAGGAACACCAGUGGCGAAGGCGACUUUCUGGUCUGUAACUGACGCUGAUGUGCGAAAGCGUGGGGAUCAAACAGG